rnacentral:misc_RNA from 1 species
GAUGCAUGGCGACUCCGCUUUUGCCUUGGGAUUCGAAAGAAAGGACAACAGAAGGAUUCUAGGAAGGAGGAGUAAACAGUACUCUCUUGUAUUAAUUGAGUCGGGGUAGCUAGCCAUGGUUGGCUGUUCAGUUUGUGGAUUGAACUCUUGGAAUUUAAUCUUUUCUGUCAUCUUUCCUACAUUUUCUUUUGCAUUUUAGUACUGAGAACAACCUUUUACCUUUUGCAUGUACUCUUAUGGAGAAGUUGCAAAACAUUAACAUGCCUAUAUUAUCUUGAACUUCGGUUCUUGGGGGCCUUGGUUUUCUCAAGACAUGGUUCAAAUGGUGUGAAAUUGAAGAGUUCAAUCAAUCUUUUUAACAGUAUUUCGUUAUAAAG